UUACGGCCACAUCACGUUGAAACACCGGUUCCUGUAUGAUCACCGAAGUUAAGAAACGUUGAGCCUGCUCAGUACCUAGGUGGGGGACCACUUGGGAAGACCAAG